UGGGCAACCUGCCCCUGACACUGGGAUAACCCCGGGAAACCGGGAGCUAAUACCGGAUACUCUCGGCCGAUCACAUGGCUGGCCGAGGAAAGGUCCGCCGGUCAGGGAUGGGCCCGCGGCCUAUCAGCUUGUUGGCGAGGUAACGGCUCACCAAGGCGACGACGGGUAGCUGGUCUGAGAGGACGACCAGCCACACUGGAACUGAGAUACGGUCCAGACUCCUACGGGAGGCA
rnacentral:rRNA from 1 species